rnacentral:rRNA from 1 species
UACGUAGGGGGCUAGCGUUAUCCGGAAUUACUGGGCGUAAAGGGUGCGUAGGUGGUUUCUUAAGUAAGAGGUGAAAGGAUACGGCUCAACCGUAGUAAGCCUUUGAAACUGUAAGACUUGAGUGCAGGAGAGGAGAGUGGAAUUCCUAGUGUAGCGGUGAAAUGCGUAGAUAUUAGGAGGAACACCAGUUGCGAAGGCGGCUCUCUGGACUGUAACUGACGCUGAGGCACGAAAGCGUGGGGAGCAAACAGGAUUAGAUACCCGGGUAGUCCCUGAGCGGG